UACGUAGGGGGCGAGCGUUGUCCGGAAUCAUUGGGCGUAAAGAGCGUGUAGGCGGCUCGGUAAGUCCGCCGUGAAACCCUGGGGCUCAACCCCAGGCUAGCGGUGGAUACUGUCGGGCUAGAGGACGGUAGAGGCGAGUGGAAUUCCCGGUGUAGCGGUGAAAUGCGCAGAUAUCGGGAGGAACACCAGCGGCGAAGGCGGCUCGCUGGGCCGUACCUGACGCUGAGACGCGAAAGCUAGGGGAGCGAACAGG
rnacentral:rRNA from 1 species